AGUGAACGCUGGCGGCGUGCUUAACACAUGCAAGUCGAACGAGAACGGAAUAUAGCUUGCUAUAUUUGUCAGCUAAGUGGCGCACGGGUGAGUAAUGUAUAGAUAACCUGCCCUUAAGAAAGGAAUAACAGUUGGAAACGACUGCUAAUGCCCUAUAUGCCUUUAAUACAUAAGUAUGCAAGGGAAACGCUUUAGUGCUUAAGGAUGGGUCUGUAUGGUAUCAGCUUGUUGGUGAGGUAAUGGCUAACCAAGGCUAUGACGCCUAACUGGUUUGAGAGGAUGAUCAGACACACUGGAACUGAGACACGGUCCAGACUCCUACGGGAGGCAGCAGUGGGGAAUAUUGCACAAUGGACGAAAGUCUGAUGCAGCAACGCCGCGUGGAGGAUGACACAUUUCGGUGCGUAAACUCCUUCUAUAUAGGAAGAUAAUGACGGUACUAUAUGAAUAAGCACCGGCUAACUCCGUGCCAGCAGCCGCUGUAA
rnacentral:rRNA from 1 species